GAUGAACGCUGGCGGCGUGCCUAAUACAUGCAAGUCGAGCGAACAGACGAGGAGCUUGCUCCUCUGACGUUAGCGGCGGACGGGUGAGUAACACGUGGAUCACCUCCCUAUAAGACUGGGAUAACUUCGGGAAACCGGAGCUAAUACCGGAUAAUCUAUUGCACCGCAUGGUUCAAUAGUGAAAGACGGUUUUGCUGUCACUUAUCGAUGGAUCCGCGCCGCAUUAGCUAGUUGGUAAGGUAACGGCUUACCAAGGCAACUAUGCGUAGCCGACCUGAGAGGGUGAUCGGCCACACUGGAACUGAGACACGGUCCAGACUCCUACGGGAGGCAGCAGUAGGGAAUCUUCCGCAAUGGGCGAAAGCUUGACGGAGCAACGCCGCGUGAGUGAUGAAGGUCUUCGGAUCGUAAAACUCUGUUAUUAGGGAAGAACAAAUGUGUAAGUAACUAUGCACGGCUUGACGGUACCUAAUCAGAAAGCCACGGCUAACUACGUG
rnacentral:rRNA from 1 species